AUAAAGCCCACUGAGAAUUCUCCUCCCAACACAGGAGCAUCACCUGUAAGACAGAGAGGGAGAUCUGUGCGUCACAAUGAGAGUUAUUAUAGCAUUAGCUGUGUUGCUGGGGACUUUAUCUCAUGGUCACUGUGUUGAACUCACGCAGCCAGGCUCUAUGACUGUAAAACCAGGGCAGCCUUUAUCUAUCUCCUGUAAAGUCUCUGGGUAUUCCCUGACUGAUAGCAGCUACUGUACGUCCUGGAUCCGGCAGCCUGCAGGGAAAGCUCUGGAGUGGAUUGGAUACAUUUGCUCUGAUGGAAACACAUAUUACAAGGAUUCAUUGAAGGGCAAAUUCACCAUCUCCAGAGAUACCUCCAGCAGUACAGUGAGUUUACAAGCAAGCAGCCUGCAGACUGGAGACACAGCUGUGUAUUACUGUGCCCGAUACACACAGUGCAGCAAAGCUACAGCAGACCUGUACAAAAAUAUACCCUGAUGAGUGUAAUG